rnacentral:tmRNA from 1 species
GGGGCUGACCGGUUUUGACAGCGUGUAGAAAAGGUGUGUAAGCGUGCAGAGCAAUGAUGUCAGCGCUCUUUAAUCAUCGGCAUCACUCAAUUUAAAUGGCGAAAACAACUACGCUCUCGCUGCCUAAUCGAAGAACAGUAGAUUAGCUUUAUUCCUCUGACAGUCAGAGGAACGAGACAUCGCCCGGCUGCCCUUUUUCCGAGGCCGGCCCUUCAGGCGGUGCUAAUAUAUCGGAAAUAGUCAGAGACACGCCUCAGGUCAACGACGAAAUUCGCGAGGCUAAGCAGACGGUUGGCAGUCCCGGCCUGCCGUCUGACGAAAACCAAUCGGAGACUACGCACGUAGAAAGCACAUUGUUUCCGCGUUUGGACGAGGGUUCGACCCCCUCCAGCUCCACU